CGCGGCGCUGAGCUUAGCUCGAGGUCGCGACAGCAGUGCCGGGGAGGCGGCGGGAGCCCCAGAAAAAGGGAGCGGGCCGGGGCACCGCCCUCCCAUUGGCUGAGGGGCCCGCAAAUUACCCGGAGCCGCGGGGCCGGAUCCGCUGCUAGGAUGGGAACAGUAAUGCAAUGAAGCACUAGGAAGAAGUUCGGCAUCUGGCCUUGGGAAAAGCCUGGAGAGAAAUCUUGGCAGUCAGUUCCCUUACGGGCUCAGAAAGCUCUUGCCAGCAGGGAAACUGGGCUGCUCUGAAGACGAUUCCAGUUCCAACUAACAUUCUUGGACCUUCAUGUUGCAGACCAGGGAGUGAACGAGGUGCCUGCCUAGAGCAGACAACCUUUUCUUCUGCUCCGCCAGGUUCCAAAUAAACACUUGAGCCUUU